GGCUUGGUGGUGGAUGGUCCACACCUGUGUCCUGUGGAAAAUCUGGACCAGAUCUAAGCAAGAGAAGCCUGUUCGAAUCAGGCCCGAGCCA